AUAUAUUUUUUUGUGUGUGUUCAAGCCUCCGUGACACCUUUGAGGUAGAUAACAUUCUCCAGUCACCUCCCAGUUCCCACUGAGUUGUGAAACAACACCUCCAGCACCCCGUUCAACUCUUUUGCACCAUCUUUUGUUCAAGGUAAUAAGAUUACAUUUUAGUGCCACUGAGCACAGGAACAGAAUUAAAAACAAAAAUAAACUUGAAUAACAUGAAUUUUGUUUUUAAUUUCUCAAAACUAGACGAUGUUUAUAGUGUAACGUCUUUGUGAGGCUAAAAAUGACAAAGAAAGACUGUAAUAGUGUGAUGCAGCUUUUUCCCAUGGACCUUGCUUGCUUCAAAGGUUUGUUUGUUGCUGUAUUCGGAAGGUUGCGUUUCAGGUGGGUUGGAAAACAAAAAGAAAAGCUGUACUGUAAAAUGGAGCCGUCUUCAUUUACACAUACUUCUUCAAACUGCCCCUUUUUUAUAAAAAAAAAAAAAUCAACAGACACGCAAAGUAACAGAAGUUCACUUCACGUAAGAUAAAAAACUACGGCUGCUCAACCAUACGACAAUUGAACAAAACACAAAAA